rnacentral:lncRNA from 1 species
UUUGUAAUGAUGAAAAAAGGUUUUGUUUGCUCUUGAAUAAUGUCCAUGUACUAGCUAAAAUCAGCUGUCCAAUCUCGUACCAAUGUUUCACCUAAUCAAAAUUUUUCUUCCUUUAAUUUUUUCUAUAAUGUUUGUUACAAAUUUUAAUAUUUGCUAAUGGAUACACAGCAGUAAAAAAGGUCAAUACCCUAUGUAAUCUAAAUGUCCCAAUGG